AGAUGUUUUAGGGAGACAGGUUAAUAAAGGUGUUUUAGGGAGACAGGUUAAUAAAGGUGUUUUAGGGAGACAGGUUAAUAAAGGUGUUUUAGGGAGACCGGUUAAUAAAGGUGUUUUAGGGAGACAGGUUAAUAAAGGUGUCAUAAGGGGGUUUUUAGUCUUUUAGCUUCACUAAUUUCUGUCUUUUUGAUUGUAGGUUGAAUUUUUUUCAUUUUAUCUUUGUUGAAAGGAAACCACUUCAGACUUUCAUUCAGUUUGAUCUCAAAAUAAAUGGAUCCAUAGCAGAAGGAAUCUUGUGAUUCAAGGCACAGUUGUUAUAUUUGAAAUCCAGUAUUGAGAUUGAAACCAUUUACCUGUAGGGAAGUGUUAAAUUGAUUCAUCAAAUUUCAAAAAACCCAACUGAUCAUUGAUCAGUUUGUUUCCAUUGUAAUCCUUUGUGAUCCCUACUUUAGCCUGUGUUUAAUGUGUAUCUCCAUCUUUUUAGUUAAAAUGAUUCUCCGCAAUGUGGAUCCACACGAAUGUGAUGGAACAGUUCCCCCAGAUGCUGUCAAAACAUUCAUCCUAGUUAAAGAGCUUCUCGACAAUGUGGAUCCACACGUAUGUGGUAAGUGUUCUUUUAGUUUAUACAUUUGUAGAAAAACGAAUCCUGCUUGAACAGAACAAAAGAAAAACGUACAAUGUAAAAAUACAUUUUCAUGUUUCUCGAAUGAUAAAAAGAUCAUGCACUUUCUGUACUGUCAGUAUGCAACCUGAACAUUGUACCUAGGGGAGGACUUUUUAAAAUAUUUGAAUAGCUUGACAUGGAAUGUGUGAAUCACGCCCCACACAAAUAACAAACAAUCAACGGCGGCAGCUGAUCGCACUAAAGCCACGUUUCCACCAAAAGUACCCAGAACUUUUAGUCCCAGGAACUACUUUUCAAGGAUCUAAAAGGUUCCUUCAGCUCAUUGUUGUCUGCGUUUCCACCGCGGUCUAAAGUCCCGCGAAGAUUAGGCAAAUUAGCCCACUGACGUAUGAAAAAGCGAAGUUGUCGUCAGUCCAUCUGUCCUAUGAUUUCUUCUGUAACCCCAUACUACCACCGAAGUAGCCUACAUGAUUUUCUAAUAACCGGGACAGCCCUGGAGGGGUUUAUUCCCCUUAUAUACAACCGGUUAUUGUAUUACUUCCUUAGCUCUCUCGUUUUGAACGAUCCCGUCGCCCAGCAAUGAUCUAAGGAAAAAAUUUUUAAUUCCCAGUUUGCAUAACUCUAUAAAUAAAACCCUCCUUUCCCCAGUAUAGAUCAGACAAUGCAUCAAGACAUGUUGUACAGACUCCAGGACUCCACAGUUCUCACAAUUGCCAUCUCUGUGUUUCCCCACUAGCACCAACCCACUUGCUAAACCGCAAUGCCCCAGCCUUAGACUUGUCAAUUUGAUUUCAUCUUUCCGAGGCAUAUUCACUCUAUUACCAGGUUUAACAGAUGGUUGGACGUUGUAUAGCUUUCUCCCUCUGCUGUCUGCAUCCCAUUACAUUCAUUUGGCAGACGCUUUUAUCCAAAGCGACGUACAAAAGUGCAUUUUCAUGAUCGUAGACAACUGCUGAACACGGGUUCAGUAAGGUACAAUUACUUAUUUUGUACAGCUAUUUCUAGCCGAGAACAAUGAACACUAUCCUGGUCUAACAUCUGCAAAGCCAAACUAGGCAGAAGAAUAAGCUACAGUAUUAGGACGAAUACAAUUUACCAAGAAGUGCAGGGAUGGGCAACAUGUAACAAGUGACAGGAAAAAGGUUUUUUUUUUUUUUUUUUUUUUUAAAUAUAUACAGCGUGGUGGUGGUUAUUCUAGGUAUAGUCUGAAGAGAUGAGUCUUCAGGCCACGGCGGAAGAUGGAUAGUGAGGGGGAGGUUCGAAGAGGGACGAGGAGUUCGUUCCACCACUGGGGAGCUAGGGUGGAGAAGCUCUGUGAUCCCUUUGGGCGGGUGGGAGGGGUUGCAAGACACCCUGCUGCCGCAGAGCGGAGUGGUCGAGCAGGCACAUAGAAUUCAGUCAUGUCCUGCAAGUAGAUGGGGGCUGUCCUGUCGGCGGCAGUGUAGACAAGGGUCAGGGCUUUGAAUCGGAUCUUGGCAGCGACCGGUAGCCAGUGAAGUGAUCGCAGCAGAGGAGUGACGUGGGAGAAUUUGGGGAGGUUGUAGAUGAGUCGGGCAGCGGCAUUCUGAAUUAUCUGUAGUGGCUGUAUGGCACAAGCUGGCAGGUUUGCAAGGAGAGAGUUGCAGUAAUCAAGGCGAGAGGUCACCGUAGCCUGGACGAGCAGCUGGGUGGAGUGCGUCGUCAGGUAUGGUCGAAUCCACCUGAUGUUGUAUAGGAGGAAUCUGCAGGACCGUGAUAUUGCCUUGAUGUGCUCCUUGAGGUCCAGUUGGUCAUCCAGGACCACCCCCAAGCUCUUGGCAGAGUGGGAGGCAGUCACUGUGGUGCCAUCAACCGUGAUUGAGAGUUCACGAAGCAAGGAGGUCUUGUACGGGAAGAAGAGCAGCUCAGUUUUGUUGAGGUUGAGCUUCAGAUGGUGGCUGGCCAUCCAGGUGGAGAUGUCAGCCAGGCAGGAAGAGAUCUUAUCAUUGAUCUGUGUGGCCGAGGGGGGGAAGGAAAAGAAUAGUUGUGUGUCAUCUGCAUAACAAUGAUAGGAAAAACCAUGUGAAUUAAUGACUGAACCAAGAGAUCUGGUGUAUACGGAGAACAGCAGAGGACCCAGUACACAUCCCUGCGGCACUCCCGUAACAAGUGGAUGAGAGGCAGAGGCAGACCCCUUCCAGGUGACCUGGUACGUCCUAUCUGCAAGAUAGGAAGCGAACCAAGACAGGGCAGUCCUGGCAAUUCCCAUCCCAGCCAAGGUGGAGAGGAGUAUUUUAUGGUUGACCGUGUCAAAAGCUGCAGACAGGUCAAGAAGGAUCAGGACAGAGGAAAGGUGUGAGGCUCUUGCAGUGGCAAGUGCCUCCGUCACAGCUAGUAGUGCAGUCUCUGUUGAGUGCCCGGAUCGGAAGCCAGGCUGGUGAGGGUCUAGCAGGUUGUUCUGAUGGAGAAAAGAGGUUAAUUGUUAAAGAACUGCUCGUUCAAGGGUUUUGGACAGAAAGGGUAGAAGGGAUACGGGUCGAUAAUUUGUUACAUCGGAGGGGUCUAAGGUGGGUUUUUUGAGUAGUGGGGUAGCACGAGCCAUCUUAAAAACAGAGGGAACAUGACCAGAGGAGAGAGAGGAAUUAACAAUGGAAGACAGAUAGGGAAGGAGCUCGCUGGAGAUGGAUUGGAGAACUUUAGAUGGGAUGGGGUCAAGUGGACAGGUGGUUGCGCGAUGAGAGGUGAUGAGUUGUAAUACAUCGGAGUCCUCCAGCAUUUCAAAGGAGGUCAGUGUGGCUGUGGGUUUGUCCUGGGGGGUUGGGGGCUCACUGGAUGGGUGAAGGAGUUCCGGAUUGUAGCCACCUUUCCUUCAAAGGCGGCCAGAAAGUCAUCUGCGGAGAGGGAAGAGGGAGGUGGGGGUGGAGGAGGAAUGAGGAGGGAAGAGAAGGUGGAGAAUAGUUUACGUGGAUUAGAGACACAUGCGCUGAUCUUGGACUGGAAAAAAGAGGCUUUUGCAGACGUGAGGGCAGAUGUAAAAGUCGCCAGCAGGGUAUGGUAUGCGGUCAGGUCAUCAGAGGAUCGGGAUUUUCUCCACUUCCUCUCUGCAGCCCGCAGUGAUGUUCUGCUGGAGCGUAGUGACUCGGUCAGCCAUGGGCAGGGGGGUGAGGAGCGUGCUGGUUUGGAGACAAGAGGACAAAGUGAGUCGAGGGACUGAGAGAGGCAGGAGUUGAGGGUGGAGGUGGCAAGAUCAACUGGCAGGUUAGAGAAAGACGCAGGAGGGGGAAGUGUAGACAGAGCAGUGGAGAUGAGGGAGGAUUGUGACAGAGUAGGGAGAUUUCUCCUGAAAGUUACUGUGGGUGAGCUAUUGGAUGAAUUGAGGGGGAGAAAAUAGGAGAGGGAGAAAGAAAGAAAUAAGUGGUCCGAGACAUGGAGGGGAGUCACUGAAAGUUGGGGAAUGGAGCAGCUUCUGGUGAAUACAAGGUCUAGUUGGUUACCAGCCUUGUGUGUGGGGGGGGGAGGAGGAUAGGGAUAGGGCGAAAGACUGGAGGAGUGAGGAAACCCUGGACAGUUGGGAGGUUUCUUGUGGGAGGUUGAAGUCUCCCAGUAGAAUAGCAGGAGUGCCAUCCUCAAGGAGGGAGCUCAGGAGAGUGUCCAGCUCGUCCAGAAAUGAGCCGAGUGGACCUGGAGGGCGGUACAGAACAAUAUUAUGAAAUUUUGAGGGAUGAGUUACAGUAAUCGCAUGAAAUUCAAAGGAGGAGAAAGUAGGGUUUGUGUGAGCCAGAUCUGGUAUUUUAGCCAGGACACCAGGGAACCCCCUACUCUUUGCAAAUAGUAUCAUGGGAUCUUUAAUGACCACAGUGAGUCAGGACCUCGGUUUAACAUCUCAUCCAAAAGAUAGCAUCUCCUACAGCACAGUGUCCCCGUCACUGCACUGGGGCAUUGGGGUUUAUUCGACCAGAGGGAAAAUUGCCCCCUGCUGGCCCACCAACACCACUUCCAGCAGCAACUCAGUAUUCCCUGGUGGUCUCCCAUCCAAGUACUAACCAAGCCCACACCUGUUUAGCUUCAGCCAGUUGGCAGGAGCAGAGUGCGUGGUGGUAUGGCUGCUGUGAAAAUUAUCAGUAUUCGUUUCAAGUUUAUGUCCUUCCUGCUCAAGCAUUUUUUCCCUCCUCAGCUAUCCCUCUCUGCCCACAUUACCAGUACUAUGUACUCUCUGGAAAAACCUGCCUAAUAGAUCUGCCUUCUCCCUUUGCUUACACCUUCUUUAUUUCCUUCUACCAUAACAGGAAUAGGCAGACCCCUGUUAAGCCCAGCCAUUCGAUGAAUCAUACCCCAAACUUGCUUAACAGUGGUUUCUGUACCUAUAGUGCCACAAAACCUGUGCCAGCUCUCUUUCUUAGCCCCUUUUAUAACCCUCCUAGCCUCUGCUCACAGCCUCUUAUAUUCAAUAGCAUGGCUCUCAACUGGACUCUUUCUAAGCUGCCUAUACGCUCUGUUACGAGCCUGCACUGCCUCAUCACAAGCCUUAUUCCACCACGGCACUAUUUUCCUCUUUUUCCUGUUCCCCUUGACUUGAAUUGAUUUUUCAGCUGCUCUUCUCACUACAGUACAGAAGGACUUACUCCAUUCUUCUACACUACCCUCACUCAUACCAUCUCCCAAAUCUGCCGAUAGUUGUUCUCUAAAUUUACCCCCGUUCGCUUUUUGAAAGUUAAAUCCUCUCACAGUGCUUUCCUUCUCCACCUGCAAAAUUCUACCAAACCGACUUAAAAUGAGAAAAUGAUCACUCCCCAUGGUGUAACGCUCCAAAAGAUCCCAAUCCCUACACCUAACUAACUCAGCCGAUGCAAAAGUUAAAUCUAUACACGACAGACUCCCAUU